AACGAACGCUGGCGGCGUGCCUAACACAUGCAAGUCGAGCGCGAAAAGGGCAACCUGAGUAGAGCGGCGCACGGGUGCGUAACACGUGGGUAAUCUGCCUUAGAGUCGAGGAUAACCUUCCGAAAGGUUGGCUAAUACUCGGUAAGCUUACGGUGUCUUCGGACGCUGUGGGAAAAGUAGGCCUCUGUUUACAAGCUUACGCUCUGAGAUGAGCCCGCGGCCCAUCAGCUAGUUGGCGGUGUAACGGACCACCAAGGCAACGACGGGUAGCUGGUCUGAGAGGACGAUCCGCCAACCUGGAACGGAGACAGGGGCCAGACUCCUACGGGAGGCAGCAGUGGGGAAUUUUCCACAAUGGGCGAAAGCCUGAGGGAGCAACCCCGCGUGUGGGAUGAAGGUUUUCGGAUCGUAAAGCACUUUCGACUGGGACGAAAAACCUUUGGCUAACAUCCAGGGGCCUGACGGUACCAGGAGAAGAAGCACCGGCUAACUCUGUGCCAGCCGCCGCCGUAACAC
rnacentral:rRNA from 1 species